AGAGUUUGAUCCUGGCUCAGGAUGAACGCUGGCGGCGUGCCUAACACAUGCAAGUCGAGCGAAGCACUUUGCUUUGAAUCUUUCGGGAGGACGAGUGAUUUGACUGAGCGGCGGACGGGUGAGUAACGCGUGGGCAACCUGCCUCACACAGGGGGAUAACAGUUAGAAAUGACUGCUAAUACCGCAUAAGGCCACAGCACCGCAUGGUGCAGGGGUAAAAACUCCGCGG
rnacentral:rRNA from 1 species